UGAACGCUGGCGGCAGGCUUAACACAUGCAAGUCGAGCGGUAGCACAGAGGAGCUUGCUCCUUGGGUGACGAGCGGCGGACGGGUGAGUAAUGUCUGGGAAACUGCCUGAUGGAGGGGGAUAACUACUGGAAACGGUAGCUAAUACCGCAUAACGUCGCAAGACCAAAGAGGGGGACCUUCGGGCCUCUUGCCAUCAGAUGUGCCCAGAUGGGAUUAGCUAGUAGGUGGGGUAAUGGCUCACCUAGGCGACGAUCCCUAGCUGGUCUGAGAGGAUGACCAGCCACACUGGAACUGAGACACGGUCCAGACUCCUACGGGAGGCAGCAGUGGGGAAUAUUGCACAAUGGGCGCAAGCCUGAUGCAGCCAUGCCGCGUGUAUGAAGAAGGCCUUCGGGUUGUAAAGCACUUUCAGCGAGGAGGAAGGUGGUGAGGUUAAU
rnacentral:rRNA from 1 species